rnacentral:lncRNA from 1 species
CAAUCUUAAUUUGUCCUUGUUCAUAUGUAUCCUCUUUUCAACAGACGUUUAACGGUGUGAGCUUUUCAGCAUUCCUGGUGAAUUACACAUUCUGGGAAUUAAUCAAAGCUAUUUAGUGAAUGAAGUUAUUGCGUGGAGGAUCUGCCUGUCCUUACCUGUGACAGAGGGAUGGUACAUAUAUACAGGAGGAGAAUGGAUUUCAGGAAGGGCAUGAGCGUCUCGGAGUAAAAAUAAUUAAAUUCUGCCGAGAUCAGCUGCUGUCCAGGGACACCACCCAGGUCUAAUUCAGAGAAAAAAUAGUCAGACUGAAGCACAGCAAAAGGUGAAGAAGUUGCGAUGAGGAACUUGGUGGUACAUGAACUCUGCAAACCAGCUGGACACGACAAACAGCCUUGGUCUGAGGGCACGUGUGGGGUACAGGAGAAGCAGGGAUGAGAUCCAUAUGGAGUCAACACAUCAUUCCUCACGCUACAGAAUGGUGCAAAUACCUCCAGUCAGUGAGGUGGUUGCCUGGUGUGGUGGAGAAUUGGAAUGGGAUAGACACACUAGGAAUAUGAGACUUUUACGUGUACACCCAAGUAAGUCUGAUAAAGAACCCAAGUGGAAAUCUCUUGGUCACAAAGAAUACAAUUACAGAGCGAUAGAGG